rnacentral:misc_RNA from 1 species
UUUUUUUUUUUUUUUUUUUCAAGAUAGAAGAUUUCAUUCAUAUAAAAAACUCAAACUGCUCAUACAUCUAUAUUCAUUUAAAAAAGUUAAGAAAAAAGAUACCCUUAUAAAGAUCUGGAAAUAGAAAAACAGUUUUUUUUUUAAAUCUAGUUUUGUAUAUACAGAUGUUUUAUACAGGUGAAAAAUGUGUUAAUCUUCAAGUAGAUUGAUCCAAAAGUUCUCUACAAUUUGUAAACUAGUGGCAUUACAUAAGUUCACUUUGAUAUUUGUUUCAAAAUCACCUUAUCCACUAUAUAAGCUAAGAUAAGGAUUUUCAAGUAAAUAUAGAGAUAACUCUUCUUCUAAAUUUAGAAAUUAUAUAAAAAAGGAUAGAAAUAAAAGCCAUAUAUGACUAUCUCCACCAACAAGAAAGAAAACGACAUAAAUCCAUGAAAAAAAAAAGCAAAAAUCUGAGACGACUGUCUUUAUUAACCAAAAAAAUAAUUGAAACUCAAAAGAAAAGGAAUAGCAAAAGGCCACCGUCGGCCAAAGAAAGGCCAACAGCAAUCCUUAGCAAAUUGCAAAGAGAGCUGCUUGCAGAGGAAGCAGCUAUAUUGUAUACCACUCAGCUCCAUAUAAAGAUAAACAAAAAGUACAAUUAAUUGGUAGGCCAAUUCAAAACGCAGCACAUGAAUCAUAUCAAUUUAGUUCGUAAUUCUUCCAGUUAGUAUAAUUCCUAAAUUUUUUAUUAUUUUUUUAUAAUUUUUUAUAAUAUAUAUAUUUUAUAAGAUUAAUAUUAAUAAAAGUCUAAAAAUUUUAUUAUUCAUUUAAUAUACUAUUAAAAUUUUUUAUCCUGAUCCCUUGGAUUUGUCUCCUUGGCUCUUUCCUUCCUAAGAAUUUCUAAAGCCAACUCAUAAAUGGCAAAGAUGUUUCUCUAAGUUUCUUUCCUGAUUCCAAUCCAUGGACAGGACAACACCUACAAUUGUUCAAAUUCCCACCCGAGAUGAAUUAGUAAAACUCAUUCCAAUGAAAUGGCUUACUAAUUAUGAAAAGCUCCACAAUAACUCCCAUUCUAUUCAGGCCAUAGAUCCUUAUUUCCACCGACGGUUAAAUGGAACUGCUAAGACAAUUUUCAAGGCUUCUGAAAGUUCUUCAUAAACACUAGAGAUCUUUCAUUCUUAUAUGAUCUCUCAUGUAACAGAAAAAAGGGAUAAAAUUCCAAUCCAUUCCUUUCAAACUGACAUUACUUCCAUUUACAUUGAUAACAUUAGAAGGCACUUCAUAUGGAAAACUCCUGGAUUGGCAUGUGUGAUCCAGGAUGUGAUUGUGAACAAUGGGACUAAGAAGAUAACUAUUGUCACCACGGACGGAAGAAAAUAAAAAAGUCUCUUUCCUCUUGCAAACAAUAUAAACCCAGAAGAGAUUAUUCUCCAAACUCUCAUAAUGGACAAUUCAUCAUUUCCAAAGAUUCUUGAUUUCAAAAAUAAGUCUUCCUAAACCACAAUUACUAAGACUAAAGGAUUAGUUUUUCAAGUAUAAAUAUAUAGUCCAACAUAUCAAGGGACAUGCUAUAAUUGAAACUAUUACUAUCUUAUAUGAUGGAAGUAUAGUGCUUAUUUUCUUUACAAUGAACUCU